CCUAUCACCCACACUAGACAUUGGUGGCGCCCUGUCCACGUCUCCUUACCAAGCAUGCCGACUGCUGAUACCUGGGCUUUUCUGGCUGAGGACCACCGUCCAGCCAUGGGAACAUGUCUGGCUCACGCCCAGGGCAAGCUAGAUAUGGUGUACGGGAAUGUCCCAGGAAGAAGCCCUCAAGCCUUGGCAGAUGGAGCUUUGGUGGAAAACUGUCCCAGUACCUUUAACUCUCAUUUGGGACAACUCUGAGUCGUGUCUCCCAGGACCAACAACCAGAGGAAGUGUGUGUACUCAAAUGCUUGUUCCCAGGUGUCAAUCUAGGGGAACUCACACAAGAAGAGCAUAUUUAUACAGAGAAGAAAAUAAAUACAUAGGCAUGAAAUAUCCUGCUCAAGAA